rnacentral:rRNA from 1 species
UACGGAGGGUGCAAGCGUUAUCCGGAUUCACUGGGUUUAAAGGGUGCGUAGGCGGGCAGGUAAGUCCGUGGUGAAAUCUCUGAGCUUAACUCAGAAACUGCCAUGGAUACUAUUUGUCUUGAAUAUUGUGGAGGUAAGCGGAAUAUGUCAUGUAGCGGUGAAAUGCUUAGAUAUGACAUAGAACACCAAUUGCGAAGGCAGCUUACUACACAGUUAUUGACGCUGAGGCACGAAAGUGUGGGGAUCAAACAGG